GAGUUUGAUCGUGGCUCAGGAUGAACGCUGGCGGCGUGCCUAAUACAUGCAAGUCGAGCGAACGGACGAGAAGCUUGCUUCUCUGAUGUUAGCGGCGGACGGGUGAGUAACACGUGGAUAACCUACCUAUAAGACUGGGAUAACUCCGGGAAACCGGAGCUAAUACCGGAUAAUAUUUUGAACCGCAUGGUUCAAAAGUGAAAGACGGUCUUGCUGUCACUUAUAGAUGGAUCCGCGCUGCAUUAGCUAGUUGGUAAGGUAACGGCUUACCAAGGCAACGAUGCAUAGCCGACCUGAGAGGGUGAUCGGCCACACUGGAACUGAGACACGGUCCAGACUCCUACGGGAGGCAGCAGUAGGGAACCUUCCGCAAUGGGCGAAAGCCUGACGGAGCAACGCCGCGUGAGUGAUGAAGGUCUUCGGAUCGUAAAACUCUGUUAUUAGGGAAGAACAUAUGUGUAAGUAACUGUGCACAUCUUGACGGUACCUAAUCAGAAAGCCACGGCUAACUACGUGCCG
rnacentral:rRNA from 1 species